AUUUUUUUCUUCUUUUUU
rnacentral:sRNA from 1 species